GAAUUACAGCACCUCCCAAGCUGUCGCUUAUGACAGGCCUCGCCCUGCUCUGAAUCUUCAGGGGGCUCUCUCACCUGUGGCUGCUGUUUCCGGGCUUGGUGUUCACAGCGCCUUGUUGUUUCAGGCUUCCUAAACACUGGGACCCACUGAUACACAAGGCGCCACCCUCUCCCCGGUUUUCUUCCUCAGACCUCCUUGACAGCCACAAAGUUUCUGGUGUUGACACACUGGCAGGACUUCCCUUGCAUGGGGCAGGCCACCCUGGAGUCAAGGCCUGCGCUUCUGAGAUGAAGCUCUGGGAUUCCAGGAAGGGGGCUCCCUACCUCCUCAGCUGGAAGUGGCUCCUGAGUGCCCACCACAGGAGGAAUUCCCUACAAAUCAUCUGAAUCUUGCCUCUUUCUUCAGCUACUGAUUUUGUCCUUUUUCUGACCAAGAAGAGCAUGUCUUCUUUUCUGCCCCUUGACUGGAGCUGAGAUCGGCACAGCGGGUUUGGCCUCACAGCCUGUCUCAGGCCCUCUGAGGAAUCACGUCCAGCCCAAGGCAGACGCAUGGAGAGGGAAGGGCGGGGUG
ensembl:lncRNA